rnacentral:rRNA from 1 species
AGGGUUUGAUUAUGGCUCAGGAUGAACGCUGGCGGCGUGCUUAACACAUGCAAGUCGAACGAAGCACUUUAUUAUGAUUUCUUCGGAAUGACGAUUUAGUGACUGAGUGGCGGACGGGUGAGUAACGCGUGGGUAACCUGCCUUAUACAGGGGGAUAACAGUUAGAAAUGACUGCUAAUACCGCAUAAGCGCACAGGAUUGCAUGAUCUGGUGUGAAAAACUCCGGUGGUAUAAGAUGGACCCGCGUCUGAUUAGCUGGUUGGUGAGGUAACGGCCCACCAAGGCGACGAUCAGUAGCCGACCUGAGAGGGUGACCGGCCACAUUGGGACUGAGACACGGCCCAA